GACGAACGCUGGCGGCGUGCCUAACACAUGCAAGUCGAACGGAACUGUUUUGAAAGAUUUCUUCGGAAUGAAUUUGAUUUAGUUUAGUGGCGGACGGGUGAGUAACGCGUGAGUAACCUGCCUUCAAGAGGGGGAUAACAUUCUGAAAAGAAUGCUAAUACCGCAUGACAUAUCGGAACCACAUGGUUUUGAUAUCAAAGAUUUUAUCGCUUGGAGAUGGACUCGCGUCCGAUUAGUUAGUUGGUGAGGUAACGGCUCACCAAGACCGCGAUCGGUAGCCGGACUGAGAGGUUGAACGGCCACAUUGGGACUGAGACACGGCCCAGACUCCUACGGGAGGCAGCAGUGGGGGAUAUUGCGCAAUGGGGGCAACCCUGACGCAGCAACGCCGCGUGAAGGAUGAAGGUUUUCGGAUUGUAAACUUCUUUUAUUAAGGACGAAAAAUGACG
rnacentral:rRNA from 1 species